CAGACGGGGAACUACAAAUUUAUCAAAGCCUGAAAACUCAACAGAGCUCUACCUGUAUUCCUUGGAUAUGUGGUAUUUUAUGGCGUAUGGCCACCACACGCUUUCAGUUGAACACACUCUCUAUUUCCUUUCUCUGUACUGUGUGUUAGUGUGUCUCUCUGUACUGCCUUAAUGGUGUAGGUCGACAAAUGGGGGUGGUCGGGGUUGUGGACGCCCGUGCACUGAAGGCCGGGUGCGGGGAGGUUUGUCUUCUUAACUUUUUUAGUAACUGGGAUAAUUCUUCUAGCAGGGGGUGAUCAAGAGUUGGGGUUGGAUUGGUAUUGAUGCUGUCCAGUAGGGGGCGGUGUAGUUGGGGAAGGGUAAGGUUGGAGUUGUCCAGCAGGGGGCAGUCUAGUUGGGGAAGGGUAAGGUUGGAGUUGUCCAGCAGUGGGCGCUGUAGUUGGGGAAGGGUAAGGUUGGAGUGGUCCAGCAGGGGGCAGUCUAGUUGGGGAAGGGUAAGGUUGGAGUGGUCCAGCAGGGGGCAGUCUAGUUGGGGAAGGGUAAGGUUGGAGUGGCCCAACUUUGGCGGAGGGGGAGGUGUGGCUUGGGACUGAGUGAGAGAACUCAAAAAAUGGCGGCCGUGAUGCUAUAACUCUGUGUGGCUUGUCUAACACACGAGAGCGGAUGAGAGACUAGGGGGUAACUUUUGUCACUCUUGGAGGAGGAGAACGAGAAAAAAGGAGGAAAAAACAGGGGGGAGGGAAGCAAAAAACAACAACAGGGCCUAAAGACGUUAUUCAAUACAUCCAGAUAUUCUUCAUAGCCAAUAAUCGUUAUCUAUCUUUAUUGAUUAAUCUGCUUCAACAGACUAAACCGUCAACCAACGCGGCAAAGAGAUGUUGUUUAGUAUCGUAGUUUAUCUAUGCGACAGGUCCGGCAGUAAUUCAAAGAAACACAGUAAAAGAGAUAUCAUUUAUCCUUGUCAACUUGUCUAGGUCUAGUUUCAAUGGUUCAAACAGUAAAUUGAAGCGACACAGUAAAAAAGGUUAUUUAUCAUUGUCAAUUUAUCUAUUUCCGCAGGUUACGCCAUAGAGCAACGCAAUACGUCAGAGAGACAUUUAUUCAUUAUUAUCAAUCUAUCUAUUCCUACAUUUACCCGUUUUAACGGACAAAGAUAGAGCGGAU
ensembl:lncRNA